rnacentral:lncRNA from 1 species
AAUUCUUUAAUGAAAAAGAUGAGUUAGUUCUAAAUGUUGUUUUCUACUGCAGUAGCAGUACAGUACUUGAUUUCUCUUUGGGGUUGCAAGGUGCCAACUGACAACUAAGGUGACUACUAUUAUUCUGCAUUUGACAAUCUCAAAUUCAUACUUAUUGUACUAUUGGCAUUUUCUGAAAGCUGGUAUGUGUUAUGUUGCACUUGAUAUUCUUAUGGAUGGUGCUUGUUAAAGAUCGCAAACUUUUCUAAAUAUUGGUUUUGUGGGUAGUCAAUAUAAUAGGACAAUUAUAAUUUAUAACCCAUUCAAUCUAUUAUAAACUGGAUUUUCAAAUUGAAGUUGAAUUGAUUUUUUACUUUUACUGCUAAAAGUAUUUCUGCAAACCAACAACAAAAAUGGUUAAAUUACUUACCAGCUAUUAUCGGCUGUUAACUUCUAUAUCUGAACACUUUACACAUCUCCCUCGCACACACCAUGUUGAACACGUAAUUUAUAACAAGGAACACACUUUUAGUUUGCAGAAUUAAAAACCAUGAGACCAAGUCCACACAAAAACCUUAUUUAUACGAAGAUAAAAGCGAGUAAUGUAAAAAGUUUUUUCAGAUAAAUAAACCUCAAUAGUGUUUAACUACAAUCAACAUAACAACAAAUCUAAUUGUGCAUAUGAAUGUUCACAAUACCAAGAAUAACAUAAAUUAUCCAUAUUAAAGUGCAACUGCACAACUAACCAUCUAAUUGUCGCAGCUUUUCUCCUUUGUAUAUUUUCCUUCAAUGUUUUGAUGACGUGCGAGAAGCACUCUAAGGCCUCAUUAGUCUGAUAUUUCUAGGUGAAAAGGAAGAUAAAGAGAAAAAAUUGCAUUUAUUUGUUACCAUUGAAUCAGUUUUUUGCCUUCAGAGAGUUAUUCUCCUUGAUCCUAGCUCGAUUAUCCAGCUUAACAUAGCGUUUUAGAUCUCCAAAAACAAGCGUUUCGAUAUUCUUCCUACGUAAUUCACUCAACGCAGGGCGUUUAUCAAUCAACUGAGACAACCAGUCAGGGUAUUCUGCAUUAGGCAGGAUUUUUUGAUCUGUUCCAUCCUUGAGAAUGUUGGCACCUACAACUGUACUUGCCUUGACUUCUUUGCUAAGAGUGGAUCCUUUGGGCGAAUCAGAAAGUCCGCCUCCUUUAGAUCCUUUCUUUGCUUUAGCAGUCGCAAAAGUUCGCUGGCAUGCAACAACAACUGCCUCUUUGGUGGUUAGAAUGUAUCUAACAGUCCUAGCACGGUUCAUUAACAUGACUUCUGCAUAGAAAAACUCAGUAUUAAGUCUUGUUUGAAUAAACAACUUAAUUAAGUGUUUAUAACAUAAGUAUUUUGAUAGUUAUGGCAGGGUGUAUAGGAGAAAACGUGGGAAUAAGGCUGCAGAGAAUAAUUCACUCAUAACUAACUUGGGUGGAAAGGGCAUGACUAGUGACAUGUGGCUUAGAAGAGAGAAUGUGGAUCUGAGGAUUAAAGGCAGAAGGAAUGUUCAGUAUCUGUCAGGCAUUGAUUUCAGUAGUCAUCACUACAAGGAGAAAGGAGAGAUUUAGCCUCUCGAAGUGCUUAGCUAUUUUCGGUCAUUUUCUUUCCCAUUUUUACCUAUUGUACUUAUCAGUUUGAUCGCAUUUGAACUCUAGCAUGAUUUUACAGUAAUAAAACCAUGGUA